CGCGUCCCUAGGUUAGGCGGCCUUACCCCCUGA
rnacentral:rRNA from 1 species